rnacentral:tRNA from 1 species
GCGGGUGUGGUGGAACUGGCAGACACGCAAGACUUAGGAUCUUGUGCCGCGAGGCAUGCAGGUUCGAUACCUGUCACCCGCACCA